rnacentral:hammerhead_ribozyme from 1 species
GUCUAGCUGACGAGUCCCAAAUAGGACGAAACUUCCUUUCUGGAU